GACAGAGGAUGCAAGCGUUAUCCGGAAUGAUUGGGCGUAAAGCGUCUGUAGGUGGCUUUUUAAGUCCGCCGUCAAAUCCCAGGGCUUCAACCCUGGACAGGCGGUGGGAAACUACCAAGCUGGAGUACGGUAGGGGCAGAGGGAAUUCCCGGUGUAGCGGUGAAAUGCGUAGAGUAUCGGGAAAGAACACCAAAGGCGAAAGCGCUCUGCUGG
rnacentral:rRNA from 1 species